UCAAUGAGUAGAUUGUACUAAUGGGAUGAAACUAAUCCUGAACAGUUAUCUGUGUUAAAGGUGUCAUCUCAACUGCAGCCUACAUGUGUUCAGUGCUAUGGUACAAUGAAUCCAAUGAUGGAUGUAAAUCAGUCGAUAAUUCCCCUACAGCCCACUGUGGAACCCAAUGCAUUAGCUCUUUCUUACUUUAUUGUACUGCUGUGAUGGUUAAUACUAUGGAAGCGGUCGAAUUCGGAGCUGAGUCCAGUCCCUGAGCGAAUGUCGGCAAUGAGGGUUGCAGGGAAACUGUGGCAGUCCGGUUGCCCUGUCUGUAUUACUAUAUGAAAAAAUAAACAUUUCCAAAGUGAGCUAAGAGUUUAUUAUCUAAACCAACGUUCCUUGGAAAGCUGGAGAUUCCUUUAUUUGGACUUAAUGCUACUUAGCUCUGCCAGCAGGCACUUACUUAUACACAAAAGCUGACAACGCAAACAGAGAAGAUUAACUACACCCCAGACUUGUGCAAUUUAAAAUUCACACGGAGAAUUGGAGACAGGCAAAGGAAUCCAACUGAGAAUAAAAACAGGAAGGCAGGAUACAGUGGACCAUAAUCAGGAAUGUCCCACCAGAUUUGAGACUGUUAGCAAGUAUGAUUAACAUUUUUUUGUUUAGGCAAU